CCUACGGGAGGCAGCAGUAGGGGAUAUUGCACAAUGGGGGAAACCCUGAUGGAGCGACGCCGCGUGAGUGAUGAAGGACUUCGGUAUGUAAAGCUCUAUCAUCAGGGAAGAAAAUGACAGUAACUGACCAAGAAGCCCCGGCUAACUACGUUCCAGCAGCCGCGGUAAUACGUAGGGGGCGAACGUUAUCCGGAAUUACUGGGGGUAAGGGGAGCGUGGACGGUUAUGUAAGUAUGGAGUGAAAGCCCGGGGCUCAACCCCGGGACUGCGUUGGAAACUGUGUAACUGGAGUACAGGAGGGGCAAGCGGAAUUCCAGGUGUAGCGGUGAAAUGCGUAGAGAUCAGGAGGAACACCAGCGGCGAAGGCGGCCUGCUGGACUGAAACUGACGUUGAGGUUCGAAAGCGUGGGGAGCAAACAGGAUUAGAUACCCGUGUAGUC
rnacentral:rRNA from 1 species